AAUAAACCGAUAAAGAAGAUUAGUAAUUUUUAUGGAGCUUUAAAGAGAGCGAGUCACUUGGUGAGAGACUUGUAGGUGAAGUUUAAAUGAAUGGACUUCUGAGGGUGGGAAGAAAUAAAUCUUUGAUUUAGAGUAAUGCCCGACGGGACUUAGCCGUUAAAAUAAGACCAAUAUGUUAGUAUUGAUGAGAGGGUGCUUUAUGCAAAUUUGGGUGGUACCGCAGAAGUUAAGACUUUUGUCCCAUUA
rnacentral:ncRNA from 1 species